rnacentral:tRNA from 1 species
UCGGAGAUAGUAUACUAAGUAUAUCUGUUUUACACACAGAGGGUGUCAGUUUAAUAAUGGCUCUCUGAG